rnacentral:rRNA from 1 species
AGAGUUUGAUCAUGGCUCAGGACGAACGCUGGCGGCGUGCUUAACACAUGCAAGUCGAACGGAAAUACUGGAUUAGUAAUAUGAAGGUAUUUUAGUGGCGGACGGGUGAGUAACACGUGGGUAACCUGCCCUUUGGAGGGGGAUAACACAGAGAAAUCUGUGCUAAUACCGCAUAACAUAACGAGAUCGCAUGGUUUUGUUAUCAAAGAUUUAUUGCCAGAGGAUGGACCCGCGGCCCAUUAGCUAGUUGGUGAGGUAACGGCUCACCAAGGCGACGAUGGGUAGCCGACCUGAGAGGGUGAACGGCCACAUUGGAACUGAGACACGGUCCAGACUCCUACGGGAGGCAGCAGUGGGGAAUAUUGCACAAUGGGGGAAACCCUGAUGCAGCAACGCCGCGUGAGCGACGAAGGCCUUCGGGUCGUAAAGCUCUGUCUUAGCUGACGAUAAUGACGGUAAGCUAGGAGGAAGCCACGGCUAACUACGUGCCAGCAGCCGCGGUAAUACGUAGGUGGCGAGCGUUGUCCGGAUUUACUGGGCGUAAAGGGAGCGUAGGCGGUUUUUUAAGUGGGGUGUGAAAUCCCUGGGCUUAACCCAGGAAUUGCAUUCCAAACUGGAAGACUAGAGUGCAGGAGAGGAAAGUGGAAUUCCAAGUGUAGCGGUGAAAUGCGUAGAGAUUUGGAGGAACACCAGUGGCGAAGGCGACUUUCUGGACUGUAACUGACGCUGAGGCUCGAGAGCGUGGGGAGCACACAGGAUUAGAUACCCUAGUAGUCC